rnacentral:rRNA from 1 species
AAAGCUCAAAUUUGAAAUCUAGCACUUUCAGUGUUCGAGUUGUAAUUUGAAGAAGGUAACUUUGGAAUUGGCUCUUGUCUAUGUUCCUUGGAACAGGACGUCACAGAGGGUGAGAAUCCCGUGCGAUGAGAUGUCCAAUUCUAUGUAAAGUGCUUUCGAAGAGUCGAGUUGUUUGGGAAUGCAGCUCUAAGUGGGUGGUAAAUUCCAUCUAAAGCUAAAUAUUGGCGAGAGACCGAUAGCGAACAAGUACAGUGAUGGAAAGAUGAAAAGAACUUUGAAAAGAGAGUGAAAAAGUACGUGAAAUUGUUGAAAGGGAAGGGCUUGAGAUCAGACUUGGUAUUUUGUGUUCCUUAUCCUUCUUGGAUUAGGUUCCUCACAGCUUACCGGGCCAGCAUCGGUUUGGAUGGCAGGAUAAUGACAUUGGAAUGUAGCUUUGCUUCGGUGAAGUGUUAUAGACUUUGUU